rnacentral:rRNA from 1 species
CCUACGGGUGGCAGCAGUAGGGAAUCUUCGGCAAUGGACGGAAGUCUGACCGAGCAACGCCGCGUGAGUGAAGAAGGUUUUCGGAUCGUAAAGCUCUGUUGUAAGAGAAGAACGAGUGUGAGAGUGGAAAGUUCACACUGUGACGGUAUCUUACCAGAAAGGGACGGCUAACUACGUGCCAGCAGCCGCGGUAAUACGUAGGUCCCGAGCGUUGUCCGGAUUUAUUGGGCGUAAAGCGAGCGCAGGCGGUUAGAUAAGUCUGAAGUUAAAGGCUGUGGCUUAACCAUAGUACGCUUUGGAAACUGUUUAACUUGAGUGCAAGAGGUGAGAGUGGAAUUCCAUGUGUAGCGGUGAAAUGCGUAGAUAUAUGGAGGAACACCGGUGGCGAAAGCGGCUCUCUGGCUUGUAACUGACGCUGAGGCUCGAAAGCGUGGGGAGCAAACAGGAUUAGAUACCCCGGUAGUC